rnacentral:lncRNA from 1 species
GCCACGUGACAGGGGGGUCACGCGCAGGGUCGUAGGGGACCGCCUGGGGAUCCCCGGACGGCUGCGAGGAAUGAGCGGUUGGCUCGGGCUGGUUUCCUCCCUCCACCGCCUGCUUGUUUCGCCAUGCCCGGGCCGGACGGUGGGGCUGCAGCGGCGAAAGCGACUGAAGUCCGGGAGCAGUCGCAUGAGCUUCCCGGUCACCAGGAGGCCCCGGGAACAGACACCUCACCCUGACAUUGUGGCAGGAACUUCUGGAUUGCUUUCCAAAGUGGCUGCACUGUUUUCUAUCCCCACUGGGCAGGAAAACAUCUAAGAAAGGAGGCUCCCCCCUUCCCUUGCAGGGUUACCAGCAAUUAAAAAGAAGUACUAGAGAGGCAAAUAUCGGCAGUAUACAUCUAAGCGCUGGUCGGAAAAGAAGGAACUCAGCCCAAGAACUUGCCCAAUCUGAUACUGGAGGUGCCACUCAAGAACCACUCCCUCCAAGAUGUUUUCCUGGAUUUCCUCAGCCUAAAGUAAUCCCUCUUUUUCCUGGGCUAUACCAUCUGGAACAGAUGACUUCCAAGGACACCGUAGCAAAGAAAAAGAGAACUGGAAGCCCAUGUGCCUUAAUCGCUUCAUCCUAGAGCUGGAGGAAAAUUUGCCUCAAGGUGAAUUAUGCCUUGAGUCCCACCCAUAUCUGCUUUUGAUGAGACUGGACUUUGGAUCUUUGAGUUGACACUGAAACAAGAAUUUUCUGGCUACUGCAAUGGAAUGAAUGUAUUUCGCAUUGUGAGGACAUGAAUUUUGGGGACCAGAAUAGAAUGCCAUGGUUUGAAUGUGUCCCCUAAAGUUCAUGUGUUGGAAACUUAAUUCCCAAUAGAACAGUGUUGGGAGGUGGGACAUAAUAAGAAGUGAUUAGGUCAUGAGGGCUCUACCCUUAUUAAUAGAUUAAUGUCAUUAUCUCAGGAGUGGGUUAGUUAUUGUAAGAGUGGCUGCAUUAUAAAAGCAAGUUUGACUCUUCCUGUUCCCUCGCUCUUACCCUCUCUUGUACUUCUGCCUUUCAUUAUGGCAUGACGCAGCGUGAAGGCCCUCAUCAGAUGCUGGCUCCAUGCUCUUGGACUUCCCAGCCUCCAGUACCAUGAG